rnacentral:lncRNA from 1 species
UCGAAUUACUACGUAUAUAAGAUUAUUUGUCUGGAUCAUCUUAUAUUUAAUUAAAUAAGAAAUAAAUAUUGAAUUUAUUUUCGAUUUAAAUUUGAGGCAAUUGGGAUGUGGAGGGUUAAUUUUGUAUUUUUGCAUCAGUUGCAGGAUAACCUGCGCUCAGUAAUGUUAAGAUACUCACUCCACUCGCUAUUUAUAUUUUGGGGGUUAUCUUGUGCUAUUGGUAAUGUUGCACUACCAAUUUGAUUACUUGUCAAAUGAACCAAAUAUAGUAAUUUGAAAAGAUUACUGCGGGAUACCUUGUAAUUUUAGUAGGAUAAUGCAAACCAAACGCACCCUAAAGUAAAUUUUAUUUUACUACAAAGUAAUUUUCCCCACUUUCGUAAAGUUGAAAAAAUAAAUAAACAAAUUUUGACACAAAUCCAAUUCAGUCUAAUUCACAUGAAGCACACAU